GGGGUUGCAGCUCAGUGGUAGAACAUUCGCUUUGCAUGUGGAAGGUACCAGGUUCGAUCCCGGCGUCUCCA